GUGCACCAAGGCGCGAAAACUCCGCAUUACGCGAAAGCGUGACGGGGCCAUCCCGAGUGCCGUCCGCUGAGGAUGGCUUUUCCCUAGUGUAGAUAGCUGGGGGAAUAAGGAGAGGGCAAGUCUGGUGUCAGCCGCCGCGGUAAUACCAGCUCUUCGAGUGGUAGGGAUGUUUAUUGGGCCUGAAGCAUCCGUAGCCGGCUGGACAAGUCCUCCGUUAAAUCCAGCGAUUCAAUCGUUGGAUUGCGAGGGAUACUGUUCGGCUAGGGGGCGAGGGAGGUCGGCGGUAGUCCCGGGGUAGGGGCGAAAUCCUAUAAUCCCGGGAGGACCACCAGUGGCGAAGGCGGCCGACUAAAACGCGCCCGACGGUGAGGGACGAAAGCUGGGGGAGCGGACGGGAUUAGAUAUGAAGUUGAGUUUGUACCAGCUUCACUAGAAACCCCGGUAGUCC
rnacentral:rRNA from 1 species